rnacentral:rRNA from 1 species
GCCCACUGAAAUUUUUAAAUGGCCGCAGUAAUUUGACUGUGCAAAGGUAGCAUAAUCAUUAGUUUUUUAAUUAAAAGCUUGAAUGAAAGGUUGGACGAAGUAAUAUCUGUCUCUAUUUAAUUUAAAUUAGAAUUUAAUUUUUAAGUUAAAAAGCUUAAAUUUUAAUAAAAGACGAGAAGACCCUAUAGAGCUUUAUAAUUUAAUUAAUAUAAUAAAUUAGGAUUUAUUUAAGUUUUAUUAAUUAAAUUAUUUUAUUGGGGUAAUAGGAAGAUUAAAUAAAUUCUUUUUUUAAAAUUAACAUUUAUUUAUGAUUUAUUAAUGAUCCAUUUUUAAUGAUUAUAAGAUUAAGUUACCUUAGGGAUAACAGCGUAAUUUUUUUAGAGAGUUCUUAUCGAUAAAAAAGUUUGCGACCUCGAUGUUGGAUUAAAGAUUAAUUUAGGUGUAGAAGUUUAAAUUUUUGGUCUGUUCGACCAUUAAAUCUUUACAUGAUCUGAGUUCAGACCGGUGUAAGCCAGGUCGGUUUCUAUCUUUAUUAUAUUUAAAUAUUUUAGUACGAAAGGACCAAAUAUUUGAUAUAUUUAUAUUUUUAAUUUUGAAUAUUAAUAUUAUUUUGGCAGAUUAGUGCAAUAAAUUUAGAAUUUAUAAAUGUAAUUAUAUUACAGAUAAUACUUGUUUUAUUUGGAUUUAUUUUUUUCUUUAAUUUGUAUAUUAUUAUUAUUAAUUUGUGUUUUAGUAGGAGUUGCUUUUUUAACUUUAUUAGAACGUAAAGUAUUAGGUUAUA